ACCCGUGUGGCCUAAUGGAUAAGGCGUCUGCCUCCGAAGUAGAAGGAUGCGGGUUCGAGUCCCGUCGCGGGUG
rfam:Taenia asiatica genome assembly, scaffold: TASK_scaffold0000876